rnacentral:tRNA from 1 species
CAGACCAUAAUCUAGGAUUAGUUUUUUUUUACAUUAAAAAUUUAUUUGUGCAAUUCAAAUUGGUUUGA